rnacentral:rRNA from 1 species
GUGAGGAAUAUUGCGCAAUGGAGGCAACUCUGACGCAGCCAUGCCGCGUGCAGGAAGAAGGCGCUACGCGUUGUAAACUGCUUUUAACCGGGAAGAAACCCCAGGACGUGUCCUGGGUUGACGGUACCGGAGGAAUAAGCACCGGCUAACUUCGUGCCAGCAGCCGCGGUAAUACGAAGGGUGCAAGCGUUAUCCGGAUUCAUUGGGUUUAAAGGGUGCGUAGGCGGAGCGUUAAGUCAGUGGUGAAAUCCUGCAGCUUAACUGUAGACUUGCCAUUGAUACUGGCGCUCUUGAGUGCGCUUGAAGUGGGCGGAAUGUGCCGUGUAGCGGUGAAAUGCUUAGAUAUGGCACAGAACACCAAUUGCGAAGGCAGCUCACUAAGGCGAUACUGACACUGAGGCACGAAAGCGUGGGGAUCGAACAGGAUUAGAAACCCCUGUAGUCC